AUUGAACGCUAGCGGGAUGCUUACACAUGCAAGUCUAACGAGUGGCGGACGGGUGAGUAAUAUAUCGGAACGUGCCUAGUAGCUGGGGAUAACUACUCGAAAACGUGCUAUCCCGCAUCCUAUUGGAGCUGCCGAUAUCGGAUUAGCUAGUUGGUGGGGUAAAGGCUCACCAAGGCAACGAUCCUGAGCCGGUGUGAGAGGACGACCAGCCACACUGGGACUGAGAAACGGCCCAGACUCCUAAGGGAGGCAGCAGUGGGGAAUUGUGGACAAUGGGAGAAACCCUGAUCCAGCCAUCCCGCGUGUAUGAUGAAGGCUUCGGGUUGUAAAGUACUUUUGGCAGGGAAGCGGUAUCUGCAGAAUAAGCACCGGCUAACUACGUGCCAGCAGCCGCGGUAAUUC
rnacentral:rRNA from 1 species